AGCGAACGCUGGCGGCAGGCCUAACACAUGCCAGUCGAACGGAUCCUUCGGGAUUAGUGGCGGACGGGUGAGUAACACGUGGGAACGUGCCCUUUGGUUCGGAACAACUCAGGGAAACUUGAGCUAAUACCGGAUGUGCCCUUCGGGGGAAAGAUUUAUCGCCAUUGGAGCGGCGCGCGUCUGAUUCGCUAGUUGGUGAGGUAACGGCCCACCAAGGCGACGAUCAGUAGCUGGUCUGAGAGGAUGAUCAGCCACACUGGGACUGAGACACGGCCCAGACUCCUACGGGAGGCAGCGGUGGGGAAUCUUGCGCAAUGGGCGAAAGCCUGACGCAGCCAUGCCGCGUGAAUGAUGAAGGUCUUAGGAUUGUAAAAUUCUUUCAGCGGGGACGAUAAUGACGGUACCCGCAGAAGAAGCACCGGCUAACUUCGUG
rnacentral:rRNA from 1 species